rnacentral:rRNA from 1 species
GACGAACCGUGCGAACGUUGUUCGGAAUCACUGGGCUUAAAGGGCGCGUAGGCGGGUCUUCAAGUCAGGGGUGAAAUCCUCCGGCUCAACCGGAGAAGCGCUUUUGAUACUGGAGACCUCGAGGGGUGCAGGGGCAUGUGGAACUUCCGGUGGAGCGGUGAAAUGCGUAGAUAUCGGAAGGAACGCCGGUGGCGAAAGCGACGUGCUGGACACCUUCUGACGCUGAGGCGCGAAAGCCAGGGGAGCAAACGGG